rnacentral:tRNA from 1 species
GAACAGGUGGCUGAUAGGUUAGGCAAUUGAUUGCAAAUCUUUUAUAAGUGGGUUCAAGUCCCACCCUGUUCUCCA